AGCCCCGAGGUGAUUUUCAUGUUGAAUUGCAAGUUCAAAGGAGCAGUCUAA
rnacentral:tRNA from 1 species